AAGCAGGAUCCCUCACUGAGCUUGGAUCAGUGGAUCAGUGUUAUCAGAUGACCUAGAUUCAAAUCCUAGUUCUUCUAACUUUCUGCGAGUUAUUAGUAACCUGUAACCUUAAGCAAUUCACUUAAUGUCUCUCGACCUCAGUUUCCUCAUCUGUAAAAUGAAGGGGUUUGGAUCAGACUCCAUCUAAAUCUGUGAUCCUCUAACUGACACCUUUCCUUAUCUGGCAAUGAACUGAAUGUGAGAGAACGGAUACAAUUUUUUAUUCUACUUGGCACACAUUAAUUAUUUGCAAAUGGCCUGAAAUGAUCCUAAACAUUUAACUUUGAUGUACUAAUCAUUUCUGUGGUAAAACAAUGUUAAAAGCCUGUGAAGGCACACAGAAAUGGGCACACUAGUGGGCCAAAAGAGCUUCAUCCUCCACACACCUAAUCUUUGAGCUAUGCUCUGGGUUUGAACACUUCACUUUAAAGAUGGUGCCACUGACCCAAAGUACGCAUCCUUCUGGAGGAGGAGCCAUUUCCCAAGACCAAUGAUCAGUUUGCACCUCUCCCUACUUCUAGGACCUACUGGUAAACCACUGAGGAUGGGGAGGCAGAGAGGAAGAAUUCUGAAAUUUGCCAGAAAGGAACUCCAAACCAGGUUUUCUUGACUUCCCCACCCAACUCCGUCCACUCCGCCGAUUAACUCAAGAAGCCUCUUACUGGGUACAGAUGAGAGUCUUCUUAUGAAUAAUUUCAGUAAGACAUUGGGAUAAUUUGUCCCCUUCUUACAUUUUCCUCCAGAAAACCAUGUGCAUUCUGGGUGUGAGGGAUGAGGGGAGGAAGGUGAACAAAAAUUGUUGGCUUUCAAGUUCUGAAGAGUUGUGUACAGGGCAUUUCACUGCGAGGGAGACCGUCAGAAAAGCCUAACGACAAAGAUGGUACUUCUGGAGGAGGAGAAGUACCUCCUUCCUCCACUCUCUACAUCCAUGGUUCCAGGGUGGGAAUGUGAUAAGGGAACAAAUUAUCCAAAUGUCUUACUAAAACAGUAGUCGCUGGGCCUAGAUAAGGGUAGGCCACACAAGGAGACCUAAAUUUUGUUGAUUUUUUUUUUAAUGGACAGGAAACCACAAGCUAAAUGCCCACUUAGGAAUCUUGGGUGCUUCUCACUUUAUCUGCAUUGAGGUGAUAACUUGCAAGGAAGUGAAAGGCAAAGAAAGGCUUGUUCUUGACAAUUCAAAGAGGCUCAGUAAAGUUUUCUACAAACUAGAAUAAUAACUGACAGCCAGAUAGAGAGCAUUAUGCUAAUGAAUGAAAGAGGGCUACCCAGGAAGCACUCUGCCAAGGGUUAAGAGUUACCUUAUUAUAAUGCAUAGAAAAGAAAUCCCUGGAUUAACUAACACUUUACACAGCCCAUUUCAUCUGACAGUCUGAAAGCACUUUAUAAAUACCAUCUCAUUAAUCCUCAACUACAUCCCUGGGAAGGAAACAGGCAGCCAAUAGUAUCCCCAUUUCUCUACCAGAGGAAACAUGGCAAAGAGAGUUAAAUGAGUUGCCCAUGAACACGCAGAGAUUCUCAGCGGCCGUAGCUCUAUUGUUUCCCAAACAUUCUAAAUUCUUGAUUCUCCGUGGACAGAUUUACCCAACCUUAAAUUUUUAUUCUUUGGCUAGCUCUCUCCCAUUGCUUGGUACAUUCCUCAGUCAUCUACUCUUAUUUUCAGCCCACUCCCACCCCUCCCCGAUGCUCAGGGCUUUGCAACCUGAUUCAAAGAAUAAAUUUAAGCUAAGCUUAACUGUAAAGGUAAAUCUCUUGCAAUAAAAUCAUGUAAUACAUUCCGUAGCCAAAUUUAAAUUAUCAUUGGAUAACCCAACUAUAUUAGGUGAUUGGCUCCACUACAAACUUUCCUCUGCUGGUAACAGUUAGAUAGUUGUCUAUAAAAACAUUUUGGUUUUUAUAGUUAAAAGUGAAUUCUGAUCCCAAUACUUGAUUUCUGUUGAAAAUCUUAACCAAGAGAAGAACUUUCUCUUUAAAUAAUUUGUUUCAAAAAAAAAAGUGUUUCUUUCAUGUUGGCAAUAAUGGCAUCUGUAUUUGGGUUGCUGUGACUUUAACCCUAUCUAUAAAGAUGUUCCACAGUAGCUUCAAUGGUAAAACAUGGCUUUGCUAGAAAUGUUUGGGAACAUUUCUGUAUGGUCUGGAUGGCUCGGUAAUCUGCCCAAAGCACUGGACAAAAAUAGUUAAGAGUCAGGACAACCUGUAACAUCUCCUUGCCAGAAUUCGUCCAUACUUCCAGAUGUGGGUCAGUGUUUCUGAAUGCAAUUGGCCACAAGUCAAUGAACCUUUCUUUCCCUGCCUCCCUACCAUCUAAGUGAAAUGGCACAAUGGAUAGAACACUGGAACUAGUGUCAAUAAGAUCAAAAUUAAAAAAUCAAAACAAGCAAAAAAGUCACAACUCUGCCUCAGUUUCCCCAUAAUUGUAUCUACUACCCAGAGUUACACUGAGGAUCCAAGAAGAUAUCUAUAGUGCUUAGUGCCAUACCUGGCAUGUAUCAGGUGAUCAAUAUUUCUUCCCUCUCCUAUUUAACAAUAUAAACAAAAUGAUUCUGAAGAGGACUAGGGAAAGAGGUUUGUAGGUUAGAAGUAGUUUUUCAAAAGGAGCCACUUCAUCCCCUAAAGGGGUGAAAAUUGCUGUUUAUCUCCCUGCACACACAGUUCUCUCCCUGGGACAGAAGUCACCACAGAACCAUUAUACGGACUGAGGGAAAGGUCUCCUAGCUUAUGGAAUUCCCACAUCUUGAGAAGGAUUUGUGAUUUACCCUUCUGAGCAGGGACAGGCCCUGUUUUCAGCCUCAUGAGACACCAGAGAAUCUCCCUUUAAGUUGGUCCAGAAGGCCAACCGUGCUACUGUUUCACAAUGACUCUAUAAUGGAAGUUCCACUUAACAUUUUCUUCCCUGGGUGCUAGCCCUUUUUGGUAGCUUACACACUCCAUCCUCAAUGAUAGUGGAGACAAACCAGCCCAGUCAGAGUGUCCAAAACCAAAAGGAAAAAAAAUAGAAAAGAAAGCAAGAAAGAGAAAAAAAGAAACCCAACGCAUAGUGACCACUGGAGUCUUGUUGACUCAGCAGUGCAGCACCCAGGGGUCACCAAGGGCAGGGAGCUUUUCUGAGAUACAAAGAAGACUUGUGCUAUGAUGAACACUGCUCUGAAAGGCGAGCUCUGUUCUAUUCAUUCUCAAAGAUAGCACAGUAAAGAAAGACUCACUUUCCCUUUUGGAAAGAUCUCUCUCUCCCUCUCUCUCUCCCUCUCUGCCUUUGCACCAUCCACCACUAAUGGGAAAGCAGUUAUCAAAAUGGCAAUGAAGAAAGUCUUGCUUGGUUGAUGAGUCUUCUUGAGGUUUUGUUUUUAAAUUCAAAUAGAAAAGCCUAUCUUGAUAUCAUGUAUUAAAAACUUGAUUAUGGCGAAGAAUACUCCUCUUUUUAAGGAGGGUGGAGAGUGGGAGAGGCCCAACUUCUCAAUUCUCUUAGCUGGUAACUCUCAGUUUUCUUUUGCAUUCACUGAAAGAUGAAGGAAGGUACCCUCAACUAAAUCUUCAAAGCAUAUGGCAGCUAUUGCAAAAGCGUGAGCAUUCCGAAUCGUAGAGAAAUUGACUUGAUUAUCCUGAGAAUUUCAACUGUUUGGCCAAGGGUGGCCAGAGAGCUUAAGAGAUUCACCAACAGGCACACCAAUUUCUCUACAAUUACAGUACAUCAGAAGAGAGUAGUAGAGGGAGUUUUUCUCAGUUCCUUACAUCAAAGGGACCUCAAGUCCACACCUCCUCACUUCCAAAAGUCAAGUGAAGAAGUCCAGAGGUCCUUCCUAAGAAAGGAGGUGAUGAGGAAGUCAUCGGGCUGAGGCACUGUCAUGCUUGUUCAUAGACUUAUUGGGAAGACAUGGAUCUCAGAUUAAGAACCCCUGAUCAAAUUUAACCCCACAUUUAAAGAGAAAGAACUGAGGCCCCAAAUCAAGUGAUCUGAAUGGAUUUGUGUAAGAAAGCAACUGGAAAAGCUGAGAAUUAAACCAAGAUAUUCUUUCACAACACUGUCUAACUGCCUCAAAAGGUUAUUGUGAGACGGAUGCAUAUAAAGUGUUUUAUAAAGCAUGAAGUGAUAUACAAAUGUCUGCUAUUAGCAUCGCUCUUGGUAAGGAUCUGGCCAUGGUUGCCCAUUCUUCAAAAUUCUUCAAAAUGACAUAAUUAUUUUCUAAGGAAAACUGCCUUUCAAAAAAUUCUUUUUCUUACUUCAAUAGUUAAAUUCCUUUGGUGAGAGUACAAGAAGGAUUCCACUCUUGAGAACACAAGAGUGAAAUACGAGUCUAGUGGACUGAUCCUGGAAGAAAGAUUCAUGUCUAAUAAGAAUAAACAGUUCUUAAAUAAACAGAAACCAGUCAAAAGGGAAAUGGUCAUUCAGGCAAAGCUGAGACAGACAAAGAGUGCUGGACCUAGAGUCCAAGUUCAAAUCUGACCUCAGACCCUUACUAGGUGUGUGAUGCUGGGCAA